UACGGAGGGUGCGAGCGUUGUCCGGAAUCAUUGGGCGUAAAGGGCGCGUAGGUGGUGCGGUCAGUCAGUGGUGAAAGCCCGGGGCUCAACCCCGGGAGGCGGAUGGAUACUGUUUGGCUCGAGUCCGGAAGAGGCGAGUGGAAUUCCCCGGUGUAGCGGUGAAAUGCGCAGAUAUCGGGGAGGAACACCAAUGGCGAAGGCAGCUCGCUGGGACGGUACUGACGCUGAGACGCGAAAGCGUGGGGAGCAAACAGG
rnacentral:rRNA from 1 species